rnacentral:snRNA from 1 species
UACAGUUGCUCUUCUUAUUUCUCU